rnacentral:rRNA from 1 species
GCGAAAACUUUACAAUGCUGGCAACAGCGAUAAGGGAACCUCGAGUGCCAGGUUACAAAUCUGGCUGUCGAGAUGCCUAAAAAGCAUUUCAUAGCAAGGGCCGGGCAAGACCGGUGCCAGCCGCCGCGGUAACACCGGCGGCUCGAGUGGUAACCGUUAUUAUUGGGUCUAAAGGGUCUGUAGCCGGCCGGAUAAGUCUCUUGGGAAAUCCAGCAGCUUAACUGUUGGGCUUUCAGGAGAUACUGUCUGGCUCGAGGCCGGGAGAGGUGAGAGGUACUUCAGGGGUAGGGGUGAAAUCUUGUAAUCCUUGAAGGACCACCAGUGGCGAAGGCGUCUCACCAGAACGGACCUGACGGCAAGGGACGAAAGCUAGGGGCACGAACC